rnacentral:rRNA from 1 species
UAACGCGUGGAUAACCUGCCGUAUACAGGGGGAUAACACUUAGAAAUAGGUGCUAAUACCGCAUAAGCGCACGGUUCCGCAUGGAACAGUGUGAAAAACUCCGGUGGUAUACGAUGGAUCCGCGUCUGAUUAGCCAGUUGGCGGGGUAACGGCCCACCAAAGCGACGAUCAGUAGCCGGCCUGAGGGGGUGAACGGCCACAUUGGGACUGAGACACGGCCCAAACUCCUACGGGAGGCAGCAGUGGGGAAUAUUGCACAAUGGGGGAAACCCUGAUGCAGCGACGCCGCGUGAGUGAAGAAGUAUUUCGGUACGUAAAGCUCUAUCAGCAGGGAAGAAAAAAAGUCCUUUGGACUUUGGACGGUACCUGACUAAGAAGCCCCAGCUAACUACGUGCCAGCAGCCGCGGUAAUACGUAGGGGGCAAGCGUUAUCCGGAUUUACUGGGUGUAAAGGGAGCGUAGACGGCAGCGCAAGUCUGGAGUGAAAUGCCGGGGCCCAACCCCGGAACUGCUUUGGAAACUGUGCAGCUGGAGUGCAGGAGAGGUAAGCGGAAUUCCUAGUGUAGCGGUGAAAUGCGUAGAUAUUAGGAGGAACACCAGUGGCGAAGGCGGCUUACUGGACUGUAACUGANGUUGAGGCUCGAAAGC